rnacentral:tRNA from 2 species
GCGCCCGUAGCUCAGUGGAUAGAGCGCUUGCCUCCGGAGUAAGAGGUCGCAGGUUCGAGUCCUGCCGGGCGUACCA